CGGGAUUGUGCCCGCAGCCGCGGUAAUACAGAGGGUGCAAGCGUUAAUCGGAUUUACUGGGCGUAAAGCGUGCGUAGGCGGCUAAUUAAGUCGGAUGUGAAAUCCCCGAGCUCAACUUGGGAAUUGCAUUCGAUACUGGUUAGCUAGAGUAUGGGAGAGGAUGGUAGAAUUCCAGGUGUAGCGGUGAAAUGCGUAGAGAUCUGGAGGAAUACCGAUGGCGAAGGCAGCCAUCUGGCCUAAUACUGACGCUGAGGUACGAAAGCAUGGGGAGCAAACAGGAUUAGAUACCCUGGUAGUCCAUGCCGUAAACGAUGUCUACUAGCCGUUGGGGCCUUUGAGGCUUUAGUGGCGCAGCUAACGCGAUAAGUAGACCGCCUGGGGAGUACGGUCGCAAGACUAAAACUCAAAUGAAUUGACGGGGGCCCGCACAAGCGGGUGGAGCAUGUGGUUUAAUUCGAUGCAACGCGACGAACCUCACUUGGUCUUGACAUAGUAAGAACUUUCCAGAGAUGGAUUGGUGCCUUCGGGAACUUACAUACAGGUGCUGCAUGGCUGUCGUCAGCUCGUGUCGUGAGAUGUUGGGUUAAGUCCCGCAACGAGCGCAACCCUUUUCCUUAUUUGCCAGCGGGUUAAGCCGGGAACUUUAAGGAUACUGCCAGUGACAAACUGGAGGAAGGCGGGGACGACGUCAAGUCAUCAUGGCCCUUACGACCAGGGCUACACACGUGCUACAAUGGUCGGUACAAAGGGUUGCUACAUAGCGAUAUGAUGCUAAUCUCAAAAAGCCGAUCGUAGUCCGGAUUGGAGUCUGCAACUCGACUCCAUGAAGUCGGAAUCGCUAGUAAUCGCGGAUCAGAAUGCCGCGGUGAAUACGUUCCCGGGCCUUGUACACACCGCCCGUCACACCAUGGGAGUUUGUUGCACCAGAAGUGGGUAGGAUAACCGUAAGGAGUCCGCUCACCACGGUGUGGCCAAUGACUGGGGUGAAGUCGUAACAAGGUAACCG
rnacentral:rRNA from 1 species